AUUGAACGCUGGCGGCAGGCCUAACACAUGCAAGUCGAGCGAGCGGCGGACGGGUGAGUAAUGUCUGGGAAACUGCCUGAUGGAGGGGGAUAACUACUGGAAACGGUAGCUAAUACCGCAUACCAUCAGAUGUGCCCAGAUGGGAUUAGCUAGUCGGUGGGGUAACGGCUCACCUAGGCGACGAUCCCUAGCUGGUCUGAGAGGAUGAUCAGCCACACUGGAACUGAGACACGGUCCAGACUACUACGGGAGGCAGCAGGGGGGAAUGUUGCACAAUGGGCGAAAGCCUGAUGCAGCCAUGCCGCGUGUAUGAAGAAGGCCUUCGGGUUGUAAAGGACUUUCAGCGGGGAGGCGUUACCCGCAGAAGAAGCACCGGCUAACUCCGGGCCAGCCGCCGCGGUAAUAC
rnacentral:rRNA from 1 species